GCACGGCCCCAUCCAUCAGGUGCCUCCUGUAACCACCGACUUGAUUAAAACUCGAGCCGGGGAGAGAGAGACCCGCCUCGGUGCCGGGGCCGGGCUCAGCAGGAGCGGCUGCGUAAUUUAUCCCGAAACGGCGGCGGCCCACACAUGGUCGCUUCAUUUCAUGUUUGGCUGCUGCCGGGUCUUCAUUUAUAGAUGCUGUAAACAGGUUGACGGGCCCUAAUUAACUGAUUUGUGGGCCUUUGAGAGCAAAUGGUUAUUAAUAUUCGCAAAUAUUUGCAACGCUCAGGCACAUGCCCGGCCCUGACAUGAUCGUACUGUGUCCUCGACUGCGUGCACCUGUGAGUUCUGGUUUGUCUCUUGCUGGUGGACGCCGGCGGGCGUUGUCAGCUGCUGAUGGCCCCUUGCCAGGACGCCCGGCCGUCUCUCCAUCACGGCUUUAGCCCAAGAUCUGCCAACUACAACUUACUGGAUUUUCCACACUCCUUUCUUCUCCCUGGGUGUCCUGGGCCCAGCUCUCCUCAGUCCCACCCUGGAGUCUCCUUGAGACAAGCUGAGAGCUCCCUCCUCUGGGAAGCCUUCCCGGAUUGACCUCUCCCUAUGGCGACGCUAUCUCUCUAUCUCAGAGUCACCUGGCGUGGUGUUAAUCGUUUACAGGAGGAUCGGUUGCUUAAUAUCUUUAGGUUAUUUUAUCCAAGAGUGUUCUGCCUCAUGAGUGUUUCCUAAAAAUCGCAACAAAUCAGUUUCUCCCUUUUGCAGUGGAGUCCCGUCUUUCGCGAAGUCGGUUGUACGGUGAAAAAUAACAACCCAGACAGCAGUAGCUGGCGUCUCCCGGGCUCUUUAUCCCACGCCCGGCGCUGUGUUGAGUAUCUCACCUGCUCCUCUCUGUCGACUGUCUCGCCACAGCCCUGUGAGGUUUUUAUAUAAAGUGUGGAGCUCGAGGAGAGGCACCGUCCAAGUGCCUGCCAGCCCAGGACUCCACACCAGAGCACCUUCGACACUUGACGGCCUGCCCUGUCACGAAGCCUUCCAGUGACACAGUGGCCCCUUGUGUCCAGGGCAUCGUCCACCAGCUUCUGGACAUUUGAAUUACAUUCUGUUGGGGGUGGGGCGCUUGCUCACAGGAUUUUCGUCUCCUCUUAAGCAUCAUGGGACCGUCGGUUCCGACCACACAGCCUCCAGCCAGGUCUGCGCGGAGCCCCAGGGAUGGCGGCACACUCUUCUCUGGAAAACAGCAGGGUGGCACCCGCGGCUGGGCCCGGCUUCGGCCCUACAAUCACCAGACAAAGUGAACACCCAGUGGGGGACCCGCUGAGUGCAUUCGAGCCCCACAAUCACACUCCGCGUGUGUGAUGAGCCCACUGGAGUGGCCCUUGGCAACGGGGACACAGGAGGGAAGAGCAGGUCCACCUGCUGUCCCCACUCCGGCCAGGCAGGGGCCGUGACAGGGCGGGGCCGGCUGGAUUAUUUACAUUCGUUUAAACAUUAGUCGAAUGCUAAUUAUUAUCAUUACAGUUACAUCAUGUUUGUUAUAAAACUCAAGAA
rnacentral:lncRNA from 1 species